GCCGAAGUAGCUCAGUUGGGAGAGCGUUAGACUGGACCUCUAAAGGUCCUCGGAUCAAUCCUGAGUUUUGGCA